rnacentral:rRNA from 1 species
CCUACGGGAGGCUGCAGUGAGGAAUAUUGGUCAAUGGGCGCGAGCCUGAACCAGCCAAGUCGCGUGAGGGAAGACGGUCCUAUGUAUUGUAAACCUCUUUUGUCGGGGAGCAAACGACGCCACGCGUGGCGUUCCGAGAGUACCCGAAGAAAAAGCAUCGGCUAACUCCGUGCCAGCAGCCGCGGUAAUACGGAGGAUGCGAGCGUUAUCCGGAUUUAUUGGGUUUAAAGGGUGCGCAGGCGGAAGAGCAAGUCAGCGGUAAAAUUGAGAGGCUCAACCUCUUCGAGCCGUUGAAACUGGUUUUCUGGAGUGAGCGAGAAGUAUGCGGAAUGCGUGGUGUAGCGGUGAAAUGCAUAGAUAUCACGCAGAACUCCGAUUGCGAAGGCAGCAUACCGGCGCUCAACUGACGCUCAGGCACGAAAGUGUGGGUAUCGAACAGGAUUAGAUACCCCAGUAGUC